rnacentral:tRNA from 1 species
GGGAUUGUAGCUCAGUGGUAGUGCACUUGCCUAGCAUGCAUGAGGCCCUGGGUUGGAUCCACAGCAUCACA